rnacentral:rRNA from 1 species
UACGUAGGGGGGCAAGCGUUGUCCCGGAUUUAUUGGGCGUAAAGAGCGUGUAGGCGGCCAAGCAGGUCCGCUGUGAAAACUCGAGGCUCAACCUCGAGACGUCGGUGGAAACCGUUUGGCUAGAGUCCGGAAGAGGAGAGUGGAAUUCCCGGUGUAGCGGUGAAAUGCGCAGAUAUCGGGAAGAACACCCGUGGCGAAGGCGGCUCUCUGGGACGGUACUGACGCUGAGACGCGAAAGCGUGGGGAGCGAACAGG